rnacentral:tRNA from 1 species
AAAAAGAUAAGCUAAUUAAGCUAAUAGGCUCAUACCCUGUGUAUAGAAGUCAAGCCUUCUUCUUUUUA